rnacentral:rRNA from 1 species
UUAAGCGACUAAGCGUACACGGUGGAUGCCCUGGCAGUCAGAGGCGAUGAAGGACGUGCUAAUCUGCGAAAAGCGUCGGUAAGGUGAUAUGAACCGUUACAGCCGGCGAUGUCCGAAUGGGGAAACCCAGUGCAAUUCGUUGCACUAUCGUUAACUGAAUACAUAGGUUAACGAGGCGAACCGGGGGAACUGAAACAUCUAAGUACCCCGAGGAAAAGAAAUCAACCGAGAUUCCCCCAGUAGCGGCGAGCGAACGGGGAGCAGCCCAGAGUCUGAAUCAGCUUGUGUGUUAGUGGAACGGUCUGGAAAGUCCGACGGUACAGGGUGAUAGUCCCGUACACCAAAAUGCACAGGCUGUGAACUCGAAGAGUAGGGCGGGACACGUGGUAUCCUGUCUGAAUAUGGGGGGACCAUCCUCCAAGGCUAAAUACUCCUGACUGACCGAUAGUGAACCAGUACCGUGAGGGAAAGGCGAAAAGAACCCCGGCGAGGGGAGUGAAAAAGAACCUGAAACCGUGUACGUACAAGCAGUGGGAGCACCCUUUAGGGUGUGACUGCGUACCUUUUGUAUAAUGGGUCAGCGACUUAUAUUCUGUAGCAAGGUUAACCGUAUAGGGGAGCCGCAGGGAAACCGAGUCUUAACUGGGCGUUAAGUUGCAGGGUAUAGACCCGAAACCCGGUGAUCUAGCCAUGGGCAGGUUGAAGGUUGGGUAACACUAACUGGAGGACCGAACCGACUAAUGUUGAAAAAUUAGCGGAUGACUUGUGGCUGGGGGUGAAAGGCCAAUCAAACCGGGAGAUAGCUGGUUCUCCCCGAAAGCUAUUUAGGUAGCGCCUCGUGAACUCAUCUUCGGGGGUAGAGCACUGUUUCGGCUAGGGGGUCAUCCCGACUUACCAACCCGAUGCAAACUACGAAUACCGAAGAAUGUUAUCACGGGAGACACACGGCGGGUGCUAACGUCCGUCGUGAAGAGGGAAACAACCCAGACCGCCAGCUAAGGUCCCAAAGUCACAGUUAAGUGGGAAACGAUGUGGGAAGGCACAGACAGCCAGGAUGUUGGCUUAGAAGCAGCCAUCAUUUAAAGAAAGCGUAAUAGCUCACUGGUCGAGUCGGCCUGCGCGGAAGAUGUAACGGGGCUAAACUGUGCACCGAAGCUGCGGCAGCGACACUAUGUGUUGUUGGGUAGGGGAGCGUUCUGUAAGCCUGCGAAGGUGGCCUGUGAGGGUUGCUGGAGGUAUCAGAAGUGCGAAUGCUGACAUAAGUAACGAUAAUGCGGGUGAAAAGCCCGCACGCCGGAAGACCAAGGGUUCCUGUCCAACGUUAAUCGGGGCAGGGUGAGUCGACCCCUAAGGCGAGGCCGAAAGGCGUAGUCGAUGGGAAACAGGUUAAUAUUCCUGUACUUGGUGUUACUGCGAAGGGGGGACGGAGAAGGCUAUGUUAGCCGGGCGACGGUUGUCCCGGUUUAAGCAUGUAGGCGGAGGUUCCAGGUAAAUCCGGUACCUUUUAACGCUGAGGUGUGAUGACGAGGCACUACGGUGCUGAAGUAACAAAUGCCCUGCUUCCAGGAAAAGCCUCUAAGCAUCAGGUAACAUUAAAUCGUACCCCAAACCGACACAGGUGGUCAGGUAGAGAAUACCAAGGCGCUUGAGAGAACUCGGGUGAAGGAACUAGGCAAAAUGGUGCCGUAACUUCGGGAGAAGGCACGCUGAUAUGUAGGUGAAGCCCCUGCGGGUGGAGCUGAAAUCAGUCGAAGAUACCAGCUGGCUGCAACUGUUUAUUAAAAACACAGCACUGUGCAAACACGAAAGUGGACGUAUACGGUGUGACGCCUGCCCGGUGCCGGAAGGUUAAUUGAUGGGGUUAUCCGUAAGGAGAAGCUCUUGAUCGAAGCCCCGGUAAACGGCGGCCGUAACUAUAACGGUCCUAAGGUAGCGAAAUUCCUUGUCGGGUAAGUUCCGACCUGCACGAAUGGCGUAAUGAUGGCCAGGCUGUCUCCACCCGAGACUCAGUGAAAUUGAACUCGCUGUGAAGAUGCAGUGUACCCGCGGCAAGACGGAAAGACCCCGUGAACCUUUACUAUAGCUUGACACUGAACAUUGAGCCUUGAUGUGUAGGAUAGGUGGGAGGCUUUGAAGCGUGGACGCCAGUCUGCGUGGAGCCAACCUUGAAAUACCACCCUUUAAUGUUUGAUGUUCUAACGUUGGCCCCUAAUCGGGGUUGCGGACAGUGUCUGGUGGGUAGUUUGACUGGGGCGGUCUCCUCCCAAAGAGUAACGGAGGAGCACGAAGGUUAGCUAAUCCUGGUCGGACAUCAGGAGGUUAGUGCAAUGGCAUAAGCUAGCUUGACUGCGAGCGUGACGGCGCGAGCAGGUGCGAAAGCAGGUCAUAGUGAUCCGGUGGUUCUGAAUGGAAGGGCCAUCGCUCAACGGAUAAAAGGUACUCCGGGGAUAACAGGCUGAUACCGCCCAAGAGUUCAUAUCGACGGCGGUGUUUGGCACCUCGAUGUCGGCUCAUCACAUCCUGGGGCUGAAGUAGGUCCCAAGGGUAUGGCUGUUCGCCAUUUAAAGUGGUACGCGAGCUGGGUUUAGAACGUCGUGAGACAGUUCGGUCCCUAUCUGCCGUGGGCGCUGGAGAAUUGAGGGGGGCUGCUCCUAGUACGAGAGGACCGGAGUGGACGCAUCACUGGUGUUCGGGUUGUCAUGCCAAUGGCAUUGCCCGGUAGCUAAAUGCGGAAGAGAUAAGUGCUGAAAGCAUCUAAGCACGAAACUUGCCCCGAGAUGAGUUCUCCCUGAGACUUUAAGUCUCCUGAAGGAACGUUAAAGACGAUGACGUUGAUAGGUCGGGUGUGUAAGCGUAGCGAUACGUUGAGCUAACCGAUACUAAUGAACCGUGAGGCUUAACCU